CCGCCACAUCUGCGAGAUGUACAAGAAGACUGAUGCAUACGUCGGGACAACGGAAGAGACUCUGACACGAGGGGCAUGGAGAAACCUGUUUUUUUUGUUGUUUUUUUGAGGUUGUUCAUCGUUAAAGUACCAGUCUAAGGAGCUUGGAAAGAUGAGCUUCUAGAACUUGUAUGUAAGGAGCAGGAGCUCCCUGAAGGAGAACCCCGGCCACUUCGUCAUAUUCCCCUUGGAUGUCGUACCGCCACAUCUGCGAGAUGUACAAGAAGUCAGAGGUCCUCUUCUGGACAGCAGAGGAGGCCAGAGUGAAGAAGAAAAGCAGCAGCUCGCUGACGGAGAACCCUGGCCACGUCGUCAUCUUCCC